ACAAGUGACCCCGGUCUAACCACCGGGAUGUUCAUAACCCUUUGUUGUCCGACUCUGUUGCCUCCGGGGCGACCCUGCCUUCGGGCGGGGGCUCCGGGUGGACACUUCAAACUCUUGCGUAACUUUGCAGUCUGAGUAAACUUAAUUAAUAAAUUAAAACUUUUAACAACGGAUCUCUUGGUUCUGGCAUCGAUGAAGAACGCAGCGAAAUGCGAUAAGUAAUGUGAAUUGCAGAAUUCAGUGAAUCAUCGAAUCUUUGAACGCACAUUGCGCCCCCUGGUAUUCCGGGGGGCAUGCCUGUUCGAGCGUCAUUUCACCACUCAAGCCUCGCUUGGUAUUGGGCAACGCGGUCCGCCGCGUGCCUCAAAUCGACCGGCUGGGUCUUCUGUCCCCUAAGCGUUGUGGAAACUAUUCGCUAAAGGGUGUUCGGGAGGCUACGCCGUAAAACAACCCCAUUUCUAAGGUUGACCUCGGAUCAGGUAGGGAUACCCGCU
rnacentral:rRNA from 1 species